AGUAACACGUGGGUAACCUGCCCAUCACAAGGGGAUAACACUUGGAAACAGGUGCUAAUACCGUAUAACAAUCGAAACCGCAUGGUUUUGAUUUGAAAGGCGCUUUCGGGUGUCGCUGAUGGAUGGACCCGCGGUGCAUUAGCUAGUUGGUGAGGUAACGGCUCACCAAGGCCACGAUGCAUAGCCGACCUGAGAGGGUGAUCGGCCACAUUGGGACUGAGACACGGCCCAAACUCCUACGGGAGGCAGCAGUAGGGAAUCUUCGGCAAUGGACGAAAGUCUGACCGAGCAACGCCGCGUGAGUGAAGAAGGUUUUCGGAUCGUAAAACUCUGUUGUUAGAGAAGAACAAGGAUGAGAGUAACUGUUCAUCCCUUGACGGUAUCUAACCAGAAAGCCACGGCUAACUACGUGCCAGCAGCCGCGGUAAUACGUAGGUGGCAAGCGUUGUCCGGAUUUAUUGGGCGUAAAGCGAGCGCAGGCGGUUUCUUAAGUCUGAUGUGAAAGCCCCCGGCUCAACCGGGGAGGGUCAUUGGAAACUGGGAGACUUGAGUGCAGAAGAGGAGAGUGGAAUUCCAUGUGUAGCGGUGAAAUGCGUAGAUAUAUGGAGGAACACCAGUGGCGAAGGCGGCUCUCUGGUCUGUAACUGACGCUGAGGCUCGAAAGCGUGGGGAGCAAACAGGAUUAGAUACCCUGGUAGUCCCGCGUAAACGAUGAGUGCUAAGUGUUGGAGGGUUUCCGCCCUUUCAGUGCUGCAGCUAACGCAUUAAGCACUCCGCUGGGGAGUACGACCGCAAGGUUGAAACUCAAAGGAAUUGACGGGGGCCCGCACAAGCGGUGGAGCAUGUGGUUUAAUUCGAAGCAACGCGAAGAACCUUACCAGGUCUUGACAUCCUUUGACCACUCUAGAGAUAGAGCUUCCCCUUCGGGGGCAAAGUGACAGGUGGUGCAUGGUUGUCGUCAGCUCGUGUCGUGAGAUGUUGGGUUAAGUCCCGCAACGAGCGCAACCCUUAUUGUUAGUUGCCAUCAUUCAGUUGGGCACUCUAGCAAGACUGCCGGUGACAAACCGGAGGAAGGUGGGGAUGACGUCAAAUCAUCAUGCCCCUUAUGACCUGGGCUACACACGUGCUACAAUGGGAAGUACAACGAGUCGCGAAGUCGCGAGGCUAAGCUAAUCUCUUAAAGCUUCUCUCAGUUCGGAUUGUAGGCUGCAACUCGCCUACAUGAAGCCGGAAUCGCUAGUAAUCGCGGAUCAG
rnacentral:rRNA from 1 species